UGUGUGUGCGUUUUUUGCCAAGAGAGAUCGAUAGCUUGAAAUUUCUCUGUGUUGACUUGCAGUUUAGUUAAAGAAAACCACUGUAUUAAAUAAGUGUUGUUUUCGUCAUGAACAGAAAACUAAACUAGUCUGAAUAAAGCCAGCCCCACUAUCCAGUUGCGUGAGGUUUUAAUCAGACUGUUUUAUCAGAGACUCAGACAUAUAAUUGUAACUUUUUUAAAAUGUUGCCGAUGCAACUUUCAAUUGUUUAAAUGGGUGCAAUAUGAGUACUGUUACGUUCCAUAUACCUCUAGACUUUGGCUUGCUUGAUUCUUGCUCCAGUCCUUCGUGAAGGAUAUAUAAUAUAUGUUGUGUACAAGAUGUAAGUUUGUACAAAUUAUAAUUUGUACAAGGUUUUUGUACAAGUUAUAAGUUUUUUGACACCUACCUUCUUGCAACAGGUGAUCAGUGACAAGUUUUUCUUUUAAAAUAUUUCAGUAAAGUUUCUAAAGCUGAAC
rnacentral:lncRNA from 1 species